CCUACGGGAGGCAGCAGUGAGGAAUAUUGGUCAAUGGCCGAGAGGCUGAACCAGCCAAGUCGCGUGAGGGAAGACGGCCCUACGGGUUGUAAACCUCUUUUGUCGGGGAGCAAAGAGAGUCACGUGUGACUCAUUGAGAGUACCCGAAGAAAAAGGAUAGGCUAACUCCGGGCCAGCAGCCGAGGUAAUACGGAGGAUGCGAGCGUUAUCCGGAUUGAUUGGGUUUAAAGGGUGCGCAGGGGGAGGUGCAAGUCAGCGGUCAAAUUGCGGGGCUCAACCCCGUACUGCCGUUGAAACUGCAUGCCUUGAGUGCGCGAGAAGUAUGCGGAAUGCGUGGUGUAGCGGUGAAAUGCAUAGAUAUCACGCAGAACUCCGAUUGCGAAGGCAGCAUACCGGCGCGCAACUGACGCUCAUGCACGAAAGCGUGGGUAUCGAACAGGAUUAGAUACCCCAGUAGUC
rnacentral:rRNA from 1 species